rnacentral:sRNA from 12 species
CCCUGACAGCGGCAUGAGGCUGCUGACGUAACCCAAGACAGGAGAUCCACAUG